AACGAACGCUGGCGGCAUGCCUAACACAUGCAAGUCGAACGAGACCUUCGGGUCUAGUGGCGCACGGGUGCGUAACGCGUGGGAACCUGCCCUUAGGUUCGGAAUAACUCCCCGAAAGGGGUGCUAAUACCGGAUAAUGUCUUCGGACCAAAGAUUUAUCGCCUUUGGAUGGGCCCGCGUUGGAUUAGCUAGUUGGUAGGGUAAAAGCCUACCAAGGCGACGAUCCAUAGAUGGUCUGAGAGGAUGAUCAGCCACACUGGGACUGAGACACGGCCCAGACUCCUACGCAAGGCAGCAGUGGGGAAUAUUGGACAAUGGGCGAAAGCCUGAUCCAGCAAUGCCGCGUGAGUGAUGAAGGACUUAGGGUUGUAAAGCUCUUUUACACGGGAUGAUAAUGACAGUACCGGGAGAAUAAGCUCCGGCUAACUCCGUG
rnacentral:rRNA from 1 species